AUCUCACGUUCACUUCGUCUUUGCUCCUCCUUCUUCUUCACUGGACGAAGAGAACAUCACAGUGCACUUCACGUAAAUGGUUGUUAACAUCGUCUUUGCUCCUCCUUCUUCUUCAGUUGCUAUUCUUUUUCAGUUGUUAACAUCACGCAAAUGAUUUUGGGUAGAAUAACUAUAGAGAUAAAUUAAGUUAGGGUUCACGUUCAAUUGAUUUUUAAGAAAUUAGGUUUUGUGGUUGUUUAAUUGGGGGUUUUAGUUGAUGAAUUAUAGAGAAAUUGCGGGACAUGGAGAAGAUAAGGUGGUCCAAUUAGUCAGGAUCGAAUGGUGCUGCUUCACGAAUUAUUGAUAAAUCGAUUUCUCUUCUUCAUGUUCUUCAAUUGUGUAUCAAUUUGUUGGAAUUUCACAAAUAAUUGAUGGAACAAUUUAGAGGUUUGUUCAAAUUUGGUGUUACUUUAAGUUAAUUGAAAUAGGUUUAAGCAUUGGGUGAUGUUUGGUCUUGUAUUUUGUUAAUUUUGUUUGCUUAAUUUUGAAUUUUAGGGCUAGAGGAGUAUAUGAAUGAAUGAUGAAUCAGUAGAUAGAUGGUUGUAACAAUACAAGGAGACAAGUUAGAGAAGAUGUUGAUGUAAAUGAGUAUGUGAAUGAAUUAAAAUGUGAUAACGAUUCAUGAAUCAUGAAGGUUUCGCGAAUGGGUGUAUUUUUCUCAGAUUCAAAUGGAUUUGUUUUUCACUUUUUCUAUAUGUUUCGAAACUUUUUUUUUGUUUUUUUGUAAUAGGUAAUAAACCCGGUACCGGACUGGAAUCUCCGGUAAAGGUCCAGGUACCAGUACCUCAUUUCAACACCAGGUACAGGGAUCGGUUUCAUAGGAGAACCGGACUGAACCGACCCUUGUGCAGCCUUAAUCACUGUUAUAAAAAAAGGUGCACUUUGUGUCCUUGAUCAAAGAGUCAAAGAGUGGACAGGAUUUACCAGGGAGGGUAAUCCGGCGGCCCAGGUAAGACGGAUCGAGUUUGACUUCGACGACUGGGAAUGAUCGGCUAUGUUUCGUGUGGGUCGACAGAAGUAGGACGGGGUGACAUAUUUGGUUCACAUAAAACGUUCUCUCUUUUUUUGCUGCUACACUUAUUCUUCUAUCUCGCAGAAACUCUAGAUUUUUGAGAAUAUUUCGUUCAUGCGGUCUGUGCGCUUGAUGUUUUCCGAAGAUUCAGGAGGCAAGGUUUAAUCAAAAAUACGAUGCAGAGGAUAGGAAUUAGAAGCUAUAUCGAUUGGUCAUAGGUGCGAUGGGGGAUUUGGUAGAUGGUCAUAAUUGGUUUAUGUGGAAAAAGCUAAAGGGAGACAGUGUAGAUCAUAAAGCUGCUUUUCCUCUAUUACCAUGCCUGAUCUCACCACAUUAGCCUUAAUAGAAGCAGAUACCAUAAUGUGAUAUUGUGUUAAUAGUGUUCCAGGAUAUAUUCGAGUUUAUUGUGAUAUUGUUUUUGGCUUGAUUAUUACAGGUACAGACUCUGCAGCAGGGCGAUGAAAUGUUACACCAUUAUCCAUAAUCAAGGAUGAAGACAACUUUUUGCUGGAUUUAGCUCUUAACUCAAUGAAGAUCAUAUCAGAAUUCUAAAAUCUUCAUGAUCUUGCCGCACACAUUCAGCCUAAAGGUUCUUCAAUUGUUGAUUAGGUAUUGACAAGUCUGCCAGGUGAAGCACACCAAAAAGGUUGGCGUCUAUUAUGUAAUAUUCUGAGAAUUGAGAUGAAGAAGAGCGAAGUAAACAACUGUUGCACCCAGGGAAGAGAAAAAGCAUUGCAUUGUUCCCCUAAGAACAAUUGACAAUCUUACUUAGGGUAUUCUGAUCAAGUAUCUUUAUCAGAUUCUGCUUAUACUGCUGCUUACUGAGCAUGAAAGAGAACUUGGUGAAACAAAUGAAAAUAGUUAAAAACUGCAACAAACUUGCAAGAGCUUCUGGAUAGUAUUGCAGAAGUUAUUUAUUCUUU